rnacentral:tRNA from 1 species
GCCGAGGUAUCCUAGCCUGGUAGGGAGCAAUCUGAAUAAGCUUGUGACUCUUGCGGGUCUCGGGGGUUCAAAUCCCCCCCUCGGCGCCA